CAGUCGCCACGGUAACACGUAGGGUGCGAGCGUUAAUCGGAAUUACUGGGCGUAAAGCGUGCGUAGGCGGUUCGUUAAGUCUGUUGUGAAAGCCCCGGGCUCAACCUGGGAAUGGCAAUGGAUACUGGCGAGCUAGAGUGUGUCAGAGGAUGGUGGAAUUCCCGGUGUAGCGGUGAAAUGCGUAGAGAUCGGGAGGAACAUCAGUGGCGAAGGCGGCCAUCUGGGACAACACUGACGCUGAGGCACGAAAGCGUGGGGAGCAAACAGGAUUAGAUACCCCCGUAGUCCCUGUCUCUUAUAC
rnacentral:rRNA from 1 species